rnacentral:sRNA from 1 species
UGAAACUAACACCAUAACGAGUAGCAUGUUUAUUUUUUAAUCAAAAUAUUCAAAUCAAUAUAUUUAAUAAACCAGAUUAUGUGUGUGUGUGUGUGUGUGUGUGUGUGUGUGUGUGUGUGUGUGUGUGUGUGUGACAAGCUCCCGGACAUAAUCGGUGAGACCUGAUUUCGGGUUCAA